AUGUAUCCACUGGCAUGGGCUGUUGUUGAAAAGUAAACAAAUGAAAGCUGGAAGUGGUUCAUUGGCUUGCUUAUUAAAGAUCUUGACAUUAAUAACAAUGGAGCUGGAUGAGUGUUCAUUUCAGAUCAACAGAAGGGACUGACUAAUGCUACAAAGGACUAUCUGCCAAAUGCAGAGCACAAAAUGUGUGCUAGGCAUAUCUAUGCCAACUGGAGAAAGAAGCAUAGGGCACAUGAGUGGUAG
rnacentral:rRNA from 1 species